ACGCUCGACACCUACGGAGGCAGCAGUAGGGAAUCUUCCACAAUGGACGCAAGUCUGAUGGAGCAACGCCGCGUGAGUGAAGAAGGUCUUCGGAUCGUAAAACUCUGUUGUUAGAGAAGAACACGAGUGAGAGUAACUGUUCAUUCGAUGACGGUAUCUAACCAGCAAGUCACGGCUAACUACGUGCCAGNCGCCGAGUAUNGNGGCGNGNGAGAG
rnacentral:rRNA from 1 species